CACACUCAGAAGAAAUAUUGAACUGUGACUGUGAGUGUCAGUCGGUUUUUAGUGAAAUUGAAGGUACAGCUCCGUGCCUUAGAGCAUCAUGACACCUGCAGUGUUUACCGAGCAAUCGAGUCGGACUAAUGAUCCGGAAAGAAGGUUUGGGAUUCGACUUUUUUGUUCUUCAAGGACAUUCAUCCUGCUGCCAAGAACUGUCAAACAGGAGCAUCUCAGUAUAAAGAGACUGCAGCUGGUGGCACAGACUAAGCAACCUAAUUGGACAACUUUAUAAGCUGAAGUUCACCUGGUAAUGUAAGAAGUGUAACAGUGCUGCGACAAAUGUUCUUGCACCUUUUGGCUACAGAUGAGAUGAGAAAAGACACAUGUGUUAAGAGAUGUGUUUUAUCCGAAAUAACCACCAACUCUUCACUUGAAUGCCUUGCA